rnacentral:rRNA from 1 species
GACGAACGCUGGCGGCGCGCUUAACACAUGCAAGUCGAGCGAGAACCAGUCCUUCGGGGCUGGGGAAAGCGGCGAACGGGUGAGUAACACGUGAGUAAUCCACCCUCGGUACCGGGAUAGCCCGGGGAAACCCGGAUUAAUACCGGCUGGCCCCUCCGCACUUUGGAGCGGCUGGGAGAGGUAGCUUCGGCCUCCGACCGAGGACGAGCUCGCGGCGGAUUAGCUUGUUGGUGGGGUAAUGGCCCACCAAGGCGACGAUCCGUAGCUGGUCUGAGAGGACGAUCAGCCACACUGGGACUGAGACACGGCCCAGACUCCUACGGGAGGCAGCAGUGGGGAAUCUUGCGCAAUGGGCGAAAGCCUGACGCAGCGACGCCGCGUGCGGGAAGAAGGCCUUCGGGUUGUAAACCGCUUUCAGGAGGGACGAAGCCACUCAGGUUAAUAGCCUAGAGGGUGACGGUACCUCCAGAAGAAGCCCCGGCUAACUACGUGCCAGCCGCCGCUGUAA